AUUGAACGCUGGCGGCAGGCCUAACACAUGCAAGUCGAACGAGUGGCGGACGGGUGAGUAAUGUCUGGGAAACUGCCUGAUGGAGGGGAUAACUUCCGGAAACGGUAGGUAAUACCCCAUACCAUUCGAAGUGGCCCGAUGGGAAUAGCUAGUAGGUGGGGUAAAGGCUCACCUAGGCGACGAUCCCUAGCUGGUCUGAGAGGAUGACCAGCCACACUGGAACUGAGACACGGUCCAGACUCCUACGGGAGGCAGAAGUGGGGAAUAUUGCACAAUGGGCGCAAGCCUGAUGCAGCCAUGCCGCGUGUAUGAAGAAGGCCUUCGGGUUGUAAAGUACUUUCAGCGAGGAGGCGUUACUCGCAGAAGAAGCACCGGCUAACUCCGUGCCAGCAGCCGCGGUAAUAC
rnacentral:rRNA from 1 species